UUGAGCCGCGCCUAUGACAGGUCAAACACUCGAAGCGCGAACACUUGAAUACCGCACCGUUUCGUCCCACAUUUGGGUUGUUUCGCUUCCCAUACCCGGGGAUGAACCCGCGAGACUGGAAGAGUUCCGGAGAACAUCUGUGCUGUGUUGAUGCACCUUACGAGAGAAUAAGACCAGUAAGCAAGGCAACUACAAUGAAGCAUAAAGAAAGACAUGAGCAGGCCAGCCACCCUGAGACUUAUAAUUCAUGAGAAGACAUUUCUGUCACUAACAAUGUGGAUGGUGAGCAAAGUUGGUGGCCAUGUUUUGGAGCAGCACCUGGGUUUUGCAGAUGGCUAUGUAUUCUUUGGCUGCUUAUCUUUUUUCCCCAUUAUUUUUCUGUUGCCUAAAGAUUCUUUGUUAGGAUAAAUCCUGAUGAUACAACAUAAUGCACUGCA